CAUGCAGUCGAGCGGAACGACGGGAGCUUGCUCCCGGGCGUCGAGCGGCGGACGGGUGAGUAAUGCAUAGGAAUCUGCCCGGUAGUGGGGGAUAACCUGGGGAAACUCAGGCUAAUACCGCAUACGUCCUACGGGAGAAAGCAGGGGACCUUCGGGCCUUGCGCUAUCGGAUGAGCCUAUGUCGGAUUAGCUGGUUGGUGAGGUAAUGGCUCACCAAGGCGACGAUCCGUAGCUGGUCUGAGAGGAUGAUCAGCCACAUCGGGACUGAGACACGGCCCGAACUCCUACGGGAGGCAGCAGUGGGGAAUAUUGGACAAUGGGGGCAACCCUGAUCCAGCCAUGCCGCGUGUGUGAAGAAGGCCCUCGGGUUGUAAAGCACUUUCAGUGGGGAAGAAGGCCUUGGGGUUAAUACCCCCGAGGAAGGACAUCACCCACAGAAGAAGCACCGGCUAACUCCGUGCCAGCAGCCGCGGUAAUACGGAGGGUGCGAGCGUUAAUCGGAAUUACUGGGCGUAAAGCGCGCGUAGGCGGCGUGAUAAGCCGGUUGUGAAAGCCCCGGGCUCAACCUGGGAAUGGCAUCCGGAACUGUCAGGCUAGAGUGCAGGAGAGGAAGGUAGAAUUCCCGGUGUAGCGGUGAAAUGCGUAGAGAUCGGGAGGAAUACCAGUGGCGAAGGCGGCCUUCUGGACUGACACUGACGCUGAGGUGCGAAAGCGUGGGUAGCAAAACAGGAUUAGAUACCCUGGUAGUCCACGCCGUAAAACGAUGUCGACUAGCCGUUGGGGUCCUCGAGACCUUUUGUGGCGCAGUUAACGCGAUAAGUCGACCGCCUGGGGAGUACGGCCCGCAAGGUUAAAACUCAAAUGAAUUGACGGGGGCCCGCACCA
rnacentral:rRNA from 1 species